CCUACGGGUGGCAGCAGUGAGGAAUAUUGGUCAAUGGGCUGACGCCUGAACCAGCCAAGUCGCGUGAGGGAAGACUGCCCUAUGGGUUGUAAACCUCUUUUGUCAGGGAGCAAAGCCGGCUACGUGUAGCCGGACGGAGAGAACCUGAAGAAAAAGCAGGGGCUAACUCGGGGCCAGCAGCCGCGGUAAUACGGAGGAUGCGAGCGUUAGCCGGAUUGAUUGGGUUUCAGGGGUGCGUAGGCGGAAUGCCAAGUCAGCGGUAAAAUCGCGGGGCUCACCCUCGCUCCGCCGUUGAAACUGGCGUUCUUGAGUGGGCUAGCAGUAUGCGGAAUGCGUGGUGUAGCGG
rnacentral:rRNA from 1 species